AUGGCUUACAGCUCAGGUCCUCUCUCCAUGCUUAGGAACCACUACAAAUGCUACUGCCUUGAGUCUCAUUUUGUUUCCCUCUGGAAACCACAUGUGUACCUUGUUUGCAGCAGUAUGGCACAGAUCAAAUUCUGGGAGUUUACAUUUCUGAAACUUGGGUCAAGGUCCUGGCCAAUCCUUAACAAGAGCAACCGUGUGGGCAUCUGUGGCAAUGUCAGAUUCACUCGAUCCCAAGACAAGAUGCUCUUUGAUAACGGACUAGAGGAAAGGGUGAAAGAAUGGUUUAGAACUAAUUCAAGAAAGAACAAUCUGAUUCACACUUGGAGGAGGACACAGGAGCUGAAUCAGAUGGGGCUGUGGUGCCUGGGGAGGAAAUUGUGAGUACUUGCUCCUGAUUGAGUAUCAUUAUCCUCCUGUUGUCUAGGAAGAUGAUUGUUAUAAUUAGCCACAAAUGUCAUGGGCAACUAUAAUUUACGUUUUCCUGUAACAACUGAUAGUUUAGCUUUUCAAUGCCUUCUUUUAUCUAUCCACCAUGGGGCUUUCCCCAUCCCUCCAUAACAAUCAAAUAUAGGAUAAAAUAUAUUUGUCUUAUAGUAUGUGUCUGUCAGUGUAUACUUAUAGUAAUAAUGUGACUAUUCAUUUUUAAAAAGUCAUUAAAUGGCUACUCACCCAAAUUUCAGGCUCCUUUAAAAUUAAAGUUCCUAUAAAAGAUUAGAAAUCAUGAGGUUAUAAAAUAGGAAUGCUGGUGGAGUCCUUAGAGAUAUUUUAGGACCAUUUCUCAUUAAUCUUAUUUCUAAAUAUAGUAUAAAGGGAUGUUAUUAAUUGUGUUGCAUAAUGCCUUUGAAAUGCAAUAUUAAUAUCCUUCGGAUUUUAUUUGUAGUGUAAUUUCUUAAUUCCAUUUUAAAUUUAUUAUGGUAAUUCAGUGGAAGUAUAUAUUUGUAUUCUAUUAUAGAAUAGUUAUAGUUUCUAUUCUAUUUUUAAUACAAAUAGUUUAUUUUUAAUAGAAAUACAAUAGUUUGUAUUCUAUUUUUAGUAAGCUGCUUUAGUAAGAACUAACUCUUGAGUUGAAUUUUUAAAAUAGAAUAAAAAUCACAAUAUUUUAUAAAGCAUUAUAUAAUUAAUUGCGAAGAAUUUUUAACUAGCAUGCACCUUUGGUAGAUACUAACCAAAUAAUAACCAUAUGCACUGAAUUGCUUUUGAAUGAAAGUCGCUCAAGUGCUCUUUUUAAAAAAUGUCUCACUGUUUUGGAUUUCAUACUAUAUUUAUUUAUUUAUUUAGAGCAGAGUCUCACUCUGUCACUUAAGCUGGAGUGCAGUGGUGUGAUCUCAGCUCACUGCAAUCUCCGCCUCCUGGGUUCAAGUGAUUCUCCUGCCUCAGCUUCCCGAGUAGCUGGGACUACAGGUGUACACCACCACGUCUGGCUAAUUUUUAUAUUUUUAGUAGAGAUGGGGUUGUGCCAUGUUGGCCAGGCUGGCCUUGAACUCCUGACCUCAGGUGAUCCGCCUGCCUCGGCCUCCCAAAGUGUUGGGAUUACAGGCAUGAGCCAUCGUGUCUGGCUUCAUACUAUAUUCAGAUUAAUAAGUUUCAUUGCAUAUUUUUAAGUAACACUAGAAAGUUAUAUUUAGAAUAGUAAUUAAAUGAAAACAAAUCAGUGACAUAAAUAGCUAGUAAAUCCAGGCCAAAGAUAACUGUUCCUAAAACUGAGGAGAGAUGGGACUAACAUCUUACAAUGAUAGGCUUUUGUUUGAAUAUAGCUACUGUCUGAACAUUUUUAUUUCUUUUACUACUAUAAUUGUUUUAUUUUAUUAUUAUUAUACUUUAAGUUUUAGGGUACAUGUGCACAAUGUGCAGGUUAGUUACAUAUGUAUACAUGUGCCAUGCUGGUGCGCUGCACCCAUUAACUCGUCAUUUAGCAUUAGGUAUAUCUCCUAAAGCUAUCCCUCCCCCCUUCCCCCACCCCACAACAGUCCCCAGAGUGCGAUGUUCCCCUUCCUGUGUCCAUGUGUUCUCAUUGUUCAGUUCCCACCUAUGAGUGAGAAUACGCGGUGCUUGGUUUUUUGUUCUUGCGAUAGUUUACUGAGAAUGAUGAUUUCCAAUUUCAUCCAUGUCCCUACAAAGGACAUGAACUCAUCAUUUUUUAUGGCUGCAUAGUAUUCCAUGGUGUAUAUGUGCCACAUUUUCUUAAUCCAGUCUCUAUCAUUGUUGGACAUUUGGGUUGGUUCCAAGUCUUUGCUAUUGUGAAUAGUGCCGCAAUAAACAUACAUGUGCAUGUGUCUUUAUAGCAGCAUGAUUUAUAGUCCUUUGGGUAUAUACCCAGUAAUGGGAUGGCUGGGUCAAAUGGUAUUUCUAGUUCUAGAUCCCUGAGGAAUCACCACACUGACUUCCACAAUGGUGGAACUAGUUUACAGUCCCACCAACAGUGUAAAAGUGUAAUUUUAAAAUGAAUGGUCAACAUCUGAUGUCUGCCCGUCUGCCUUACAUCCUUAUGACCUGAAUUUGUUCUGUAUGUCCUCACUGAGACGUUGUGCUAGGAUGUCAUUAAUAAAUUAUUUCUACAACACACAAUGACCGUUUGCUCAAUGUUCAUUCUCCGUGACAUCUCUGCAAAUUUAAAAUUGUUGACCACACCCUCCUACUCGAAAGAAGUGGCUUUUGUGGUAUCCAUUUUGAGUUGUCUUCUAUCUGGAUUACUCCUUCUCUCAUUACUAUGGAUUUUUCCAUUUUUCUAAAUGUGCAUGUUCCUUCAUGCCCAGUUUUAGAACAUGCACUCUUUUCCUUCUUCUGUAGGAAAUAUCUAUUUUCUAAGCUUCAAUGAUCAUUUCUGUGUGGAUAAAAUUAUGAACUAUGAUAAAUAACCUUUUUUUUUAUCUCCAGACUUGUCUUGUUGAAUCUCCUAGAGUCGAGGAAUCAAAGAAAAAUAACGACAUUAAGGAUUUUUUUUGAGAUCAUAAAACUAUAGAGUCACAGAGUUUAAAAUAUGGAAAUAACUGGAAUUAUGGAGAUUCUAUCAGGAAGGUUCCUGUUUGUUUGAGUUUUCAAAAAUUUUGCUGUUGUUUGAAAGACGAUGCAUUUUUUCUUUUCAGUUUUUAUGUUUAAUUCUUUGUUUCUUUAAUUUUAGAGGUGGUUCUUGUGUUGUUGCAUAUUUUUUAAUUAAAGGCCAAUAAAAUAUAGACUAUUUUUAUCUAUUUUCACGCAAUUGGAAUAAUUUUCUUAAAAUAAAUUCCUUUAAGCAAAGGUACGUAGUUUUUUUAGGUUAUGGAAAAAUUAAAUUACUGUGUAUACUCAAAGUCCUGUUAGUGGCACUGGAUCAAAACUGUUAUUUUAAAGCCACUUGCUGAUUUUGCUGGCAGUGAUUAUAAUGAAAUAUAAUAAUAUGUUUUAUUUAUAAAGUGCUUUUCACCUAUACAUUCAGAGUGUCUGCAUUUCAAGUGAUACUCAGGGUAUGUCAGUCGAUAACUUCAGUUUCUGAGGCCUGAUGAACACAUUUGCAUAAUGUUCAUGCUUGUUGAUUACUGGGGUCAAAAAGUCCAAAUUCACACUGCAUGUGUUCAAAAUAUCAUAGGAUUACUCAAUAAGGUCUUGAAAUUUUUUCCUACCAUAUUAUUUUUGUUUAAGGACAGGAUUUGGGACAAACAAACAGAGGUCUUUCUCUGUGAAAGACCUAAACUAGCGUCUUGUGUACUGAAUAAAAUAUAACUAUAAAAGAAUGACACAAAUUUCCUUAUAUGAUUGUGGAAUUAGUCUCGUUAUCUUAAAAUAAUACUAUCAUACCACAACUAUUAUUGUCACCAAAAAAGAGCAAAAGAGCAAAAGAGCAAAGGAUACUUUAGUUUACUGUCUAAAGAUCGGUUUUACUAAUGAAAAAACAUUUCCCUGCCUCCUCUUAGUCAUUAGAAGACAUUACAUAAAAAAGCCCCACAGUUGCUUCUGAGUAGUUAAAGCAUAUUCUUAAGUGGUUAAUUUUCUGCCCCAAUUUCAUCUUGUUCAUAUUCUUUCCCUUUCUCUUCUCUACCAGUUUCCAUCUUUUCUAAGACAGUUAGGUAAUGACUAGCAAUACAUUUGUCCCUACCCUGGAUAAUUCAAUACAUUAAAACAAGAUGGAAUUCAAUAAGAAAUAUUGCUAAUUCCACAUGUCCUCUGCUCAGUGUCUUUGGCUGUGGACUGCUGGCUGCUCAUUUUGCUUUUUUAAUUUGAAAGGCGGCUCUAAAAAAACAUUUUCUUCUUUGUACCUAAUUUUCUGAAGUGAAAAUAUUUACAUAUCCACAUAUGGCAUUCAACAUAUGUGGAAACUAUAUUUGAUAGUAAAGAAAAUUUGAUACCCAAUAUUUGGUAGCAGUAAGCAAAUAUAAUCUUAACAUAAUAGUAAGAGCGGACUUAGCAUAAAGGGAAGAGCACAUGGGCC
ensembl:lincRNA